CGUAAGGGAUUAAUUGCUGCCCGACAGUUGGCCCAGUUGGAUAAUUACAAAGCCAAGACGUUUCCAUUGCCAAUCAAAAUUGCAUAGAUGUGAAGAAAAAAUUUUCUAUAUUAACAUAUCGCGGAAUUGGCUGUAAUAAUUGUAUGAAUUUCACGUGGAAGAAGACUUU